UAGGCAUCUUUUCCAUUACACGGUUGUUCAAACGUACGGUGUGUAAGCCGUACGGUUGAAAAAACGUGCUAGCUUGUACAUGAUACGGCAAAAUCACCGCGCGAGACAUUGGAAAAAGAAAAUAGAAAAAAAAAGGGAAGUAAGGUUUUGGAUACAUCCGAUUUUAGAAAAAAGGGAGGAAUAUGGCGCGUUUCAUACACUUGUCAAGAAUCAAUUGAGAGAAGAUGAAGACAAGUUUUACAAUUAUUUUAGAAUGCAGAAAACUACAUUCGACAACUUGCUCCAAAAAUUAUCCCAGGAACUAAAACAUCAAGAUACUUUUAUGCGAGAGAGUAUAUCGCCCGCAGAAAGAUUGGCUGUAACUCUGAGGUAUCUAGCAACAGGAGAUACCUUUACUGACCUAUACUACAGCUAUAGAAUUGGAAUAAAAACCAUAAGUUGCAUCGUACGUGAAGUAUGCCACUACAUUUGGUUAGAACUGUAUAAA